GUAUAAGACAGCCUACGGGGGGCAGCAGUAGGGAAUCAUCCGCAAUGGGCGAAAGCCUGACGGUGCAACGCCGCGUGAGUGAGGAAGGUUUUCGGAUCGUAAAACUCUGUUGUUAGGGAAGAACAAGUACCGUUCGAAUAGGUCGGUACCUUGACGGUACCUAACCAGAAAGCCACGGCUAACUACGUGCCAGCAGCCGCGGUAAUACGUAGGUGGCAAGCGUUGUCCGGAAUUAUUGGGCGUAAAGCGCGCGCAGGCGGUCCUUUAAGUCUGAUGUGAAAGCCCACGGCUCAACCGUGGAGGGUCAUUGGAAACUGGAGG
rnacentral:rRNA from 1 species